GUGUCGUUGCACGUUGCCAGCAGAGAAAACGCAACGUAGCCAGGUUAAAAGAGGCGAAGGGAAAGGCAGGUCAAAGCAGCGACGCACUGGCCAGGUGCGCAGACAUUCCACUCGCUUUGCGCUACGCUCGCCCCGCUUCCCCCGACCUGCGAUUAUUUUCCACCUGGAGCGCCACGUUUUACUUUUUCAUGGCGGACCGAGCGAUAGGAACGCAUACGGAUGCCCGGAUUGGAGGAGGUGCGACAACCAGAAGGUGGAAGGUGGUGAUCGCGAGGAAACAAAAAUGGCGGCCAAUCGAAGCGCGCCUCUUCCGAGUUAUAAAGAGGCUCUAUAACUGAUCACAGAGUUUACGUUAAAUCGACUUAGGAAGGAGAACGAAGGAGAGCGAAGGAAAGCUAACGAACAACAGGUUGGCACGUUGAACGCGUGGGGUGGGAAGACGGGAGAAUGAGAAGAGCCGUGUAGAGACAGAGAAGCAGAAAACGGGAAAGCAACGAUCGUUGGAUUUGGUAGGAAUAUCCGUAGAAGCGAAAUGCUUAGCGCUAUGUAAGAGCGACGACGUCGUGACAGGGAGACCGGAUUGGUCGGUCACCUGUUGCCUGCCUGCCGUGAUUGGUCGGGCUCGACAGCGCGUAACGACGCCCGGAGGAGGACAAGUGCACACCGUCGGCUGGUCUAUGAUGGACCAACGUCGAAAAUGGACAUACUCGUAUACGUGUAAACCUUUGUCCUUGCUCGCGAACAAAUCAACUACCUUGUCGUUUUGCUAUUCACCAUUCGCCUAAAUUCGUUCCUACUCGUUCGAUACUUGCGUUCCACAUGCGCGUAUAUCGCGGCGAACGUUAUUGCUUCGACGUUUAUUUACGAGCUUAGUCUUUAACUGCAUUCUACCAUAUAAAUAUUUAUCGGCGUUACCUUCGAAUUAUUUACGUUUCUUAAAUAAAGGUAAAGUUUAAAUA